rnacentral:rRNA from 1 species
GCGUGAGUAGGUGGUUUCUUAAGUCUGCUGUGAAAGCCCCGGGCUCAACCUGGGAAUUGCAGUGGAUACUGGGGAGCUAGAGUGCGGUAGAGGGUAGUGGAAUUCCCGGUGUAGCGGUGAAAUGCGUAGAGAUCGGGAGGAACACCAGUGGCGAAGGCGGCUACCUGGACCAGCACUGACACUGAGUCACGAAAGCGUGGGGAGCAAACAGGAUUAGAUACCCUGGUAGUCCACGCCCUAAACGAUGCGAACUGGAUGUUGGGUGCAACUUGGCACUCAGUAUCGAAGCUAACGCGUUAAGUUCGCCGCCUGGGGAGUGCGGUCGCAAGACUGAAACUCAAAGGAAUUGA